GGCUGGUCCGAAGGUAGUGAGUUAUCUCACUUGAUCACAGUCAGUUAUAGAUUGAACUCCUUGUUCUACUCUUUCCCCCUUCUCACUACUGCACUUGACUAGUCUUAA
rnacentral:Y_RNA from 1 species